AUCGAACGCUGGCGGCAGGCCUAACACAUGCAAGUCGAGCGAGCGGCGGACGGGUGAGUAAUGCCUGGGAAUUGCACAGUCGCGGGGGAUAACAGUUGGAAACGACUGCUAAUACCGCAUACGAUUGGAUUGCCCAGGUGGGAUUAGCUAGUUGGUGAGGUAAUGGCUCACCAAGGCGACGAUGCCUAGCUGGUCUGAGAGGUGGAUCAGCCACACUGGAACUGAGACACGGUCCAGACUCCGACGUGAGGCAGAAGUGGGGAAUAUUGCACAAUGGGGGAAACCCUGAGGCAGCCAUGCCGCGUGAGUGAAGAAGGCCUUCGGGUUGUAAAGCUCUUUCAGCGAAGAGGCGUUACUCGCAGAAGAAGCACCGGCUAACUCCGUGCCAGCAGCCGCGGUAAUUC
rnacentral:rRNA from 1 species